rnacentral:rRNA from 1 species
CUAGCUGGUCUGAGAGGAUGACCAGCCACACUGGAACUGAGACACGGUCCAGACUCCUACGGGAGGCAGCAGUGGGGAAUAUUGCACAAUGGGCGCAAGCCUGAUGCAGCCAUGCCGCGUGUAUGAAGAAGGCCUUCGGGUUGUAAAGUACUUUCAGCGGGGAGGAAGGGAGUAAAGUUAAUACCUUUGCUCAUUGACGUUACCCGCAGAAGAAGCACCGGCUAACUCCGUGCCAGCAGCCGCGGUAAUACGGAGGGUGCAAGCGUUAAUCGGAAUUACUGGGCGUAAAGCGCACGCAGGCGGUUUGUUAAGUCAGAUGUGAAAUCCCCGGGCUCAACCUGGGAACUGCAUCUGAUACUGGCAAGCUUGAGUCUCGUAGAGGGGGGUAGAAUUCCAGGUGUAGCGGUGAAAUGCGUAGAGAUCUGGAGGAAUACCGGUGGCGAAGGCGGCCCCCUGGACGAAGACUGACGCUCAGGUGCGAAAGCGUGGGGAGCAAACAGGAU